UUGAAACACCAGUUCCCGCAGAUCCUUGAAGUUAAGCAACGUCAAACUUGGUCAGUACCUGGAUGGGUGGCCACUUGGGAAUAUCAGGUGCUGUAAG